rnacentral:rRNA from 1 species
CCUACGGGAGGCAGCAGUGAGGAAUAUUGGACAAUGGGCGCAAGCCUGAUCCAGCCAUGCCGCGUGCAGGAUGACGGUCCUAUGGAUUGUAAACUGCUUUUAUACAGGAAGAAACACCUCUACGUGUAGAGACUUGACGGUACUGUAAGAAUAAGGAUCGGCUAACUCCGUGCCAGCAGCCGCGGUAAUACGGAGGAUCCAAGCGUUAUCCGGAAUCAUUGGGUUUAAAGGGUCCGUAGGCGGUUUAGUAAGUCAGUGGUGAAAGCCCAUCGCUCAACGGUGGAACGGCCAUUGAUACUGCUAGACUUGAAUUAUUAGGAAGUAACUAGAAUAUGUAGUGUAGCGGUGAAAUGCUUAGAGAUUACAUGGAAUACCAAUUGCGAAGGCAGGUUACUACUAAUUGAUUGACGCUGAUGGACGAAAGCGUGGGUAGCGAACAGGAUUAGAUACCCUGGUAGUCCACGCCGUAAACGAUGGAUACUAGCUGUUGGGAGCAAUCUCAGUGGCUAAGCGAAAGUGAUAAGUAUCCCACCUGGGGAGUACGAAACGCAAGUUUGAAACUUCAAAUUGAAUUGACGGG